UGGCGGACGGGUGAGUAAUACUUAGGAAUCUGCCCAGUAGUGGGGGACAACCAGGAGAAAUCCUGGCUAAUACCGCAUACGCACUACGGUGGAAAGUGGGGGACCUUCGGGCCUCACGCUAUUGGAUGAGCCUAAGUCGGAUUAGCUUGUUGGUGAGGUAAAGGCUCACCAAGGCGACGAUCCGUAGCUGGUCUGAGAGGACGAUCAGCCACACUGGGACUGAGACACGGCCCAGACUCCUACGGGAGGCAGCAGUGGGGAAUAUUGGACAAUGGGCGCAAGCCUGAUCCAGCAAUGCCGCGUGUGUGAAGAAGGCCUGCGGGUUGUAAAGCACUUUCAGUAGAGAAGAAAAGCCUAGGGUUAAUACCCCUGAGUCUUGACGUAACCUACAGAAGAAGCACCGGCUAACUCCGUGCCAGCAGCCGCGGUAAU
rnacentral:rRNA from 1 species